AGAUUGAACGCUGGCGGCAGGCCUAACACAUGCAAGUCGAGCGGUAGAGAGGUGCUUGCAUCUCUUGAGAGCGGCGGACGGGUGAGUAAUGCCUAGGAAUCUGCCUAGUGGUGGGGGAUAACGUUCGGAAACGGACGCUAAUACCGCAUACGUCCUACGGGAGAAAGCGGGGGACCUUCGGGCCUCGCGCCAUUAGAUGAGCCUAGGUCGGAUUAGCUAGUUGGUGAGGUAAUGGCUCACCAAGGCGACGAUCCGUAACUGGUCUGAGAGGAUGAUCAGUCACACUGGAACUGAGACACGGUCCAGACUCCUACGGGAGCAGCAGGUGGGGAAUUAG
rnacentral:rRNA from 1 species